rnacentral:rRNA from 1 species
UACGAGGGGGACGAACGUUGUUCGGAAUUAUUGGACGUAAAGAACGCAUAGACAGUACAGUAAGUCACCUAUGAAACCCCCAAACUCAACUCAAGGCCUACAAGCGAAACUACCGUACUGGAGUACGGAAGAAAUGAAUGGAAUUCCCAAUAUAGCAAUGAAAUGCGUAGAUAUCGGAAGGAACACCUGUAGCGAAAACGGCUCACUAGACCGCAACUGACGCUGAGGCACGAAAGCUAAGAAAACAAACAGG